UUGGUAGAAUAAUAGGUUUUUAUGCCAUUUAAUAUACUUUAUCUAAAAUUAAAAAGCAGUUUCAUAGUGGAGACGGAUCCGAUUUCACGUCAAAACAUCUGAUUUGACGGCGUCCGACAAGGCUUUCAUAGUGAUUUUUUUUUAACGUUUCAACUUAAAACAGAUUAGACAUUAUUUUAUUUUUUAAAAUGAACCAAUAUUCUCUAUUUAAAUUAUAUAUGAUAUAUGAUCUCUUAUUCAAGAAAGAAAAAAAUAUAGUAAAUUCAAAAAGGAGGAAGGAGGGAGCAUAUUUUACUUUGCUGCCAAAAUUACUUAUAGAUGACCUCAAGUUUUAUAAUUACAUGUGUAUGAAAAAAAUACCUAGCAACUGGUAAUUCAUAUGUCACCUUGUCAUAUUCUCAUAAACUUGGGGUAUCAACUAUAAAACUAAUAAUAGGAGAAAAUACAAAAGCUAUAUGGGAUAUUAUUCAACCCAUCCAUAUGAAGGUCCCAACAUUGGAGAUGUUUGAGGAAGUUGCUAAGGGCUUUGAUGAAAGGUGGAACUUCCCAAACUGUAUAGGUGCCAUUGAUGGGAAACAUUGUAAAACAAAAAAGUCUCCAUAUUCUUGAACCCAAUUUUAUAAUUACAAGCAUGGAUUUUCAAUAAUCCUUCAAGCAUUGGUGGAUCAUAAUGGCAAAUUUAUGGUUAUAGAUGUUGGCACUUAUGGAAGCCAAAAUGAAAGAAAAUUUAAAUAUAAUAAGUUUUGAUCUUGUUGGUUCAAAUUAUCCUUUAUGGAACCAACAGAGUAUUAAAAAUAGUUCUGAUAAAAAUAAAAAUAUAAGAAACUUAUUUAGCAAUUAUUUUAAUAAUAGACAUUUGCCCUGGCAAACUAAUAUAUUAAAUUAAUAUUUAUUUUUUCAAUAUUUUGAUUUUAUAUGUAUUAAAUUUCUUUAUAUUUUUUUGGUAUAUAUUUUCUUUUUAUAAAAAUACAAGAACUUGUUCAUAAAAUAAUUAUUUUGUACCAAUUUCCCAUGUUUUUGUUUAAUAUAUUCUUAAAAAAAAUUUAUACAUGUAAAUAAAUA